CCUACGGGAGGCUGCAGUGGGGAAUAUUGCACAAUGGGCGCAAGCCUGAUGCAGCCAUGCCGCGUGUGUGAAGAAGGCCUUCGGGUUGUAAAGCACUUUCAGCGGGGAGGAAGGCGUUAAGGUUAAUAACCUUGUCGAUUGACGUUACCCGCAGAAGAAGCACCGGCUAACUCCGUGCCAGCAGCCGCGGUAAUACGGAGGGUGCAAGCGUUAAUCGGAAUUACUGGGCGUAAAGCGCACGCAGGCGGUCUGUCAAGUCGGAUGUGAAAUCCCCGGGCUCAACCUGGGAACUGCAUUCGAAACUGGCAGGCUAAAGGCUUGUAGAGGGGGGUAAAAUUCCAGGUGUAGCGGUGAAAAGGGUAGAGAUCUGGAGGAAUACCGGUGGCGAAGGCGGCCCCCUGGACAAAGACUGACGCUCAGGUGCGAAAGCGUGGGGAGCAAACAGGAGUAGAUACCCUUGUAGUC
rnacentral:rRNA from 1 species